rnacentral:rRNA from 1 species
GGACCUGACUGCUAUCGGAUUGAUACUAAGCCAUGCGAGUCAUUGUAGCAAUACAAGGCAUACGGCUCAGUAACGCGUAGUCAACCUAACCUAUGGACGGGAAUAACCUCGGGAAACUGAGAAUAAUGCCCGAUAGAACAUUAUGCCUGGAAUGGUUUAUGUUCCAAAUGAUUUAUCGCCGUAGGAUGGGACUGCGGCCUAUCAGUUUGUUGGUGAGGUAAUGGCCCACCAAGACUAUUACAGGUACGGGCUCUGAGAGGAGUAGCCCGGAGAUGGGUACUGAGACACGGACCCAGGCCCUAUGGGGCGCAGCAGGCGAGAAAACUUUGCAAUGUGCGAAGGCACGACAAGGUUAAUCCGAGUGGUUUCUGCUAAAGAAAUCUUUUGUUAGUCCUAGAAACACUAACGAAUAAGGGGUGGGCAAGUUCUGGUGU